GUGUCAGCAGCCGCGGUAAUACAGAGGGGGCAAGCGUUAUUCGGAAUUAUUGGGCGUAAAGGGCGCGUAGGCGGUUUUUUAAGUGAGAUGUGCAAUCCCCGAGCUUAACUUGGGAACUGCAUCUCAGACUGGAAGGCUAGAGUGCUGGAGAGGGUGGUAGAAUUCCACGUGUAGCGGUGAAAUGCGUAGAGAUGUGGAGGAAUACCAGUGGCGAAGGCGGCCACCUGGACAGUAACUGACGCUGAGGCGCGAAAGUGUGGGUAGCAAACAGGAUUAGAAACCCGCGUAGUCC
rnacentral:rRNA from 1 species